AACUAGAGACCGGCGCCGGGUGCGUACGCGUAUGCAACUUGCCCUACUGAAAAGGAUAGCCCUUCGAAAGGAGGAUUAAUACUUUAUAACAGAUUUAAUGGCAUCAUUAGAUUUUGAAAGAUUUAUCGCAGUAGGAUAGGCAUUCGUAAGAUUAGUUAGCUGGUGAGGUAACGGCUCACCAAGACGAUGAUCUUUAGGGGGUCUGAGAGGGUGAACCCCCACACUGGUACUGAGACACGGACCAGACUCCUACGGGAGGCAGCAGUGAGGAAUAUUGGACAAUGGGUGGAAGCCUGAUCCAGCCAUCCCGCGUGUAGGAUGACGGCCUUAUGGGUUGUAAACUACUUUUAUCUGGGGAUAAACCUACUUACGUGUAAGUAGCUGAAGGUACCAGAAGAAUAAGCACCGGCUAACUCCGUGCCAGCAGCCGCGGUAAUACGGAGGGCGCAAGCGUUAUCCGGAUUUAUUGGGUUUAAGGGUCCGUAGGCGGAUUAAUCAGUCAGUGGUGAAUCUCAUAGCUUAACUAUGAAACUGCCAUUGAUACUGUUAGUCUUGAGUGAUGUUGAAGUUGCUGGAAUGUGUAGUGUAGCGGUGAAAUGCUUAGAUAUUACGCAGAACACCAAUUGCGAAGGCAGGUGACUAAACAUUAACUGACGCUGAUGGACGAAAGCGUGGGGAGCGAACAGGAUUAGAUACCCUGGUAGUCCACGCCCUAAACGAUGCGAACUGGAUGUUGGGCUCAACUCGGAGCUCAGAGUCGAAGCUAACGCGUUAAGUUCGCCGCCUGGGGAGUACGGUCGCAAGACUGAAACUCAAAGGAAUUGACGGGGGCCCGCACAAGCGGUGGAGUAUGUGGUUUAAUUCGAUGCAACGCGCAGAACCUUACCUGGUCUUGACAUGUCGCGAACCCUGCAGAGAUGCGGGGGUGCCUUCGGGAACGCUAACACAGGUGCUGCAUGGCUGUCGUCAGCUCGUGUCGUGAGAUGUUGGGUUAAGUCCCGCAACGAGCGCAACCCUUGUCCUUAGUUGCCAGCUAGUAAUGUCGGGACUCUAAGGAGACUGCCGGUGACCAACCGGAAGAAGGUGGGGAUGACGUCAAGUCAUCAUGGCCCU
rnacentral:rRNA from 1 species